rnacentral:rRNA from 1 species
GUCCAGCGCCGCGGUAAUACGGAGGGUGCAAGCGUUGUCCGGAAUCACUGGGUGUAAAGGGUGUGCAGGCGGGGCAGCAAGUCGAAUGUGAAACCCCAUGGCUUAAUCAUGGUGGUGCAUUCGAAACUGUUGCUCUUGAGUCCCGGAGAGGCUGUCGGAAUUCGUGGUGUAGCGGUGAAAUGCGUAGAUAUCACGAGGAACACCAGAGGCGAAAACGGACAGCUGGACGGGUACUGACGCUCAGGCACGAAAGCGUGGGGAGCAAACAGGAUUAGAAACCCUUGUAGUCC